AGCUCUGUUUUAAAAUUGAAAAAGUCUACUUACAACCGACCUGAGAAACCCCCGCGUAACCGGCUCCUACGUGGCACGUUUCAAAACGGCGUCGUCACUGCUUUAACUCAAAUUCAAACUUGCCUCGUCACUGUGUUACUGCGUUUCGAAAACUCUCUACUUUCUCUUCCUUCCAAGACCCUCCUCUCUUCCUCAUUCCCAUCGUCUUCCGCAGAAAGGCAGAAGCAGCCUUCCAUCCCAGUCGAAAAUCAUUCCCAGUUGAAGAAAGAACCCACAAACCCACGUUUCAGCUUCGUACCGAAGAACCACUGACGCACAAACCCACGAACAAGCCUCGAACCCAAGAGCCAGAAACCCAAUUUCAACCCACAAAUCGACAAACUAGAGCCACGAAAUCCAGUUCUGAAAUCCCGCUUUCCCACAGAGCACCGAUUAAAAUAACCCUAACCCUAACCUCAAAAAAUCGGGUUAGUUUUCUCCUUUUUAUGUCUUUUCAUUUUGGUUUCCAACAUUUCCCACUCUCAGAUCUGGAAUCAACCCGAGCACGCCUGCAUUUCGUCUGAAAGCAAGAAAUUUCUUUUUUUUCUUUGAAAUCUGGAGGCGCGUGAACUUGGAGGUCAAUGUUUGGUGGGUAUUGGAUUAAUUGCACAAAUAAAUGUUGGGUUGGUCACAUAUCUAAACACUUUUGAGCUUCUGGGUGGGCGUGUGUCGAAGGGAAUUUGAUAAUGGAGCAUGUGAUUGCUGGGAAGUUUAAGCUGGGGGGAAAGAUUGGGAGUGGGUCCUUUGGGGAGCUCUAUCUAGCCAUUAAUGUACAAACUGGAGAGGAGGUGGCUGUUAAGCUGGAAUAUGUGAAGACCAAGCAUCAAUAACCUGUUACGGAAGGAGAAAGAUCUCAAGAAGGUGGUCGAGUUUCUUGAAAAGAGUGAAAUUGACCUUCGUAAGAUAGUGGAUCAGCUCGAGAAGAAGUUGGGGCAUCACGCACAAGAAACUGAGAUAAGGCGUUUACAAUGAAUGUAUUGGGGUUUUGCAUUAGUAGUAUUAUGUUUUUGUAUUGGAUUUUGGCUCUUGUAUUGAACUCCAGACUUGAUGUAUGAAUUUUUGUACAUCCUUAUUCGUGUUUUGUUAGAUUUCAUGGAAUAUUGUGAUGGGAAUGUUGCAGUUUUGAUAGAAUUGCUUGAUUUUUAUUGUGUUUUGUAGGCAAGUGUAAAAAUGAUUUUGAAAGUUUGAUGCAACUAAUCUAAAAA